rnacentral:rRNA from 1 species
AUUGAACGCUGGCGGCAUGCCUUACACAUGCAAGUCGAACGGCAGCACGGGUGCUUGCACCUGGUGGCGAGUGGCGAACGGGUGAGUAAUACAUCGGAACAUGUCCUGUAGUGGGGGAUAGCCCGGCGAAAGCCGGAUUAAUACCGCAUACGAUCUACGGAUGAAAGCGGGGGACCUUCGGGCCGCGCGCUGUAGGGUUGGCCGAUGGCUGAUUAGCUAGUUGGGGGGGUAAAGGCCUACCAAGGCGACGAUCAGUAGCUGGUCUGAGAGGACGACCAGCCACACUGGGACUGAGACACGGCCCAGACUCCUACGGGAGGCAGCAGUGGGGAAUUUUGGACAAUGGCGAAAGCCUGAUCCAGCAAUGCCGCGUGUGUGAAGAAGGCCUUCGGGUUGUAAAGCACUUUUGUCCGGAAAGAAAUCCUUGGCCCUAAUACGGUCGGGGGAUGACGGUACCGGAAGAAUAAGCACCGGCUAACUACGUG